rnacentral:rRNA from 1 species
GAUGAACGCUGGCGGCGUGCCUAAUACAUGCAAGUCGAGCGAACAGAUGAGGAGCUUGCUCCUCUGACGUUAGCGGCGGACGGGUGAGUAACACGUGGAUAACCUACCUAUAAGACUGGGAUAACUUCGGGAAACCGGAGCUAAUACCGGAUAAUAUAUUGAACCGCAUGGUUCAAUAGUGAAAGACGGUUUUGCUGUCACUUAUAGAUGGAUCCGCGCCGCAUUAGCUAGUUGGUAAGGUAACGGCUUACCAAGGCAACGAUGCGUAGCCGACCUGAGAGGGUGAUCGGCCACACUGGAACUGAGACACGGUCCAGACUCCUACGGGAGGCAGCAGUAGGGAAUCUUCCGCAAUGGGCGAAAGCCUGACGGAGCAACGCCGCGUGAGUGAUGAAGGUCUUCGGAUCGUAAAACUCUGUUAUUAGGGAAGAACAAAUGUGUAAGUAACUAUGCACGUCUUGACGGUACCUAAGCAGAAAGCCACGGCUAUCUACGU